AAAUUGAAGAGUUUGAUCAUGGCUCAGAUUGAACGCUGGCGGCAGGCCUAACACAUGCAAGUCGAGCGGUAACACAGAGAGCUUGCUCUCGGGUGACGAGCGGCGGACGGGUGAGUAAUGUCUGGGAAACUGCCUGAUGGAGGGGGAUAACUACUGGAAACGGUAGCUAAUACCGCAUAACGUCGCAAGACCAAAGUGGGGGACCUUCGGGCCUCAUGCCAUCAGAUGUGCCCAGAUGGGAUUAGCUAGUAGGUGGGGUAAUGGCUCACCUAGGCGACGAUCCCUAGCUGGUCUGAGAGGAUGACCAGCCACACUGGAACUGAGACACGGUCCAGACUCCUACGGGAGGCAGCAGUGGGGAAUAUUGCACAAUGGGCGCAAGCCUGAUGCAGCCAUGCCGCGUGUAUGAAGAAGGCCUUCGGGUUGUAAAGUACUUUCAGCGAGGAGGAAGGCGUUAAGGUUAAUAACCUUGGCGAUUGACGUUACUCGCAGAAGAAGCACCGGCUAACUCCGUGCCAGCAGCCGCGGUAAUACGGAGGAUGCAAGCGUUAAUCGGAAUUACUGGGCGUAAAGCGCACGCAGGCGGUCUGUCAAGUCGGAUGUGAAAUCCCCGGGCUCAACCUGGGAACUGCAUUCGAAACUGGCAGGCUAGAGUCUUGUAGAGGGGGGUAGAAUUCCAGGUGUAGCGGUGAAAUGCGUAGAGAUCUGGAGGAAUACCGGUGGCGAAGGCGGCCCCCUGGACAAAGACUGACGCUCAGGUGCGAAAGCGUGGGGAGCAAACAGGAUUAGAUACCCUGGUAGUCCACGCCGUAAACGAUGUCGACUUGGAGGUUGUGCCCUUGAGGCGUGGCUUCCGGAGCUAACGCGUUAAGUCGACCGCCUGGGGAGUACGGCCGCAAGGUUAAAACUCAAAUGAAUUGACGGGGGCCCGCACAAGCGGUGGAGCAUGUGGUUUAAUUCGAUGCAACGCGAAGAACCUUACCUACUCUUGACAUCCAGAGAACUUAGCAGAGAUGCUUUGGUGCCUUCGGGAACUCUGAGACAGGUGCUGCAUGGCUGUCGUCAGCUCGUGUUGUGAAAUGUUGGGUUAAGUCCCGCAACGAGCGCAACCCUUAUCCUUUGUUGCCAGCGGUCCGGCCGGGAACUCAAAGGAGACUGCCAGUGAUAAACUGGAGGAAGGUGGGGAUGACGUCAAGUCAUCAUGGCCCUUACGAGUAGGGCUACACACGUGCUACAAUGGCAUAUACAAAGAGAAGCGACCUCGCGAGAGCAAGCGGACCUCAUAAAGUAUGUCGUAGUCCGGAUUGGAGUCUGCAACUCGACUCCAUGAAGUCGGAAUCGCUAGUAAUCGUAGAUCAGAAUGCUACGGUGAAUACGUUCCCGGGCCUUGUACACACCGCCCGUCACACCAUGGGAGUGGGUUGCAAAAGAAGUAGGUAGCUUAACCUUCGGGAGGGCGCUUACCACUUUGUGAUUCAUGACUGGGGUGAAGUCGUAACAAGGUAACCGUAGGGGAACCUGCGGUUGGAUCACCUCCUUACCUUAAAGAA
rnacentral:rRNA from 1 species